UACAGAGGGUGCGAGCGUUAAUCGGAAUUACUGGGCGUAAAGCGCACGUAGGUGGCGACGUAAGUCGGGUGUGAAAGCCCCGGGCUCAACCUGGGAAUUGCAUUCGAGACUGCAUUGCUGGAGUACGGAAGAGGAAGGCGGAAUUCCCGGUGUAGCGGUGAAAUGCGUAGAUAUCGGGAGGAACAUCAGUGGCGAAGGCGGCCUUCUGGUCCAGUACUGACGCUGAGGAGCGAAAGCCAGGGGAGCAAACGGG
rnacentral:rRNA from 1 species